CCGGCUGGACAAAACUUAUAACCUUUUUUAAUCUUCAAUCAGCGUCUGAAUUAUACAUAAUAAUUACAACUUUCAACAACGGAUCUCUUGGUUCUGGCAUCGAUGAAGAACGCAGCGAAAUGCGAUAAGUAGUGUGAAUUGCAGAAUUCAGUGAAUCAUCGAAUCUUUGAACGCACAUUG
rnacentral:rRNA from 1 species